CUUACUACAUGGAUAACCGUGGUAAUUCUAGAGCUAAUACAUGCUGGAAACCCCAACUUCGGGAGGGGUGUAUUUAUUAGAUAAAAAACCAACGCCCUUCGGGGCUUCUUGGUGAUUCAUAAUAACUUUACGGAUCGCAUGGCCUUGCGCCGGCGACGGUUCAUUCAAAUUUCUGCCCUAUCAACUUUCGAUGGUAAGGUAUUGGCUUACCAUGGUUUCAACGGGUAACGGGGAAUUAGGGUUCGAUUCCGGAGAGGGAGCCUGAGAAACGGCUACCACAUCCAAGGAAGGCAGCAGGCGCGCAAAUUACCCAAUCCCGACACGGGGAGGUAGUGACAAUAAAUACUGAUACAGGGCUCUUUUGGGUCUUGUAAUUGGAAUGAGUACAAUUUAAACCUCUUAACGAGGAACAAUUGGAGGGCAAGUCUGGUGCCAGCAGCCGCGGUAAUUCCAGCUCCAAUAGCGUAUAUUAAAGUUGUUGCAGUUAAAAAGCUCGUAGUUGAAACUUGGGUCUGGCUGGCAGGUCCGCCUCACCGCGUGUACUUGUCCGGCCGGGCCUUCCUUCUGGAGAACCUCAUGCCCUUCACUGGGCGUGUUGGGGACCAGGACUUUUACUUUGAAAAAAUUAGAGUGUUCAAAGCAGGCCUUUGCUCGAAUACGUUAGCAUGGAAUAAUAGAAUAGGACGUGCGGUCCUAUUUUGUUGGUUUCUAGGACCGCCGUAAUGAUUAAUAGGGACAGUCGGGGGCAUCAGUAUUCAAUUGUCAGAGGUGAAAUUCUUGGAUUUAUUGAAGACUAACUACUGCGAAAGCAUUUGCCAAGGAUGUUUUCAUUAAUCAGUGAACGAAAGUUAGGGGAUCGAAGACGAUCAGAUACCGUCGUAGUCUUAACCGUAAACUAUGCCGACUAGGGAUCGGGCGAUGUUCUUUUUCUGACUCGCUCGGCACCUUA
rnacentral:rRNA from 1 species